GUCCUGUUGAUUAUAAUAUUAGGUUUGACCUGCCCUAUGAAAUAUUUAUUUAAAUGGCCGCAGUAUAUUGACUGUGCAAAGGUAGCAUAAUCAUUAGUUUUUUAAUUGAAAGCUUGUAUGAAAGGUUUGAUAAGAAAGUAUCUGUCUCAGUAAAAAUUUAUUUGAAUUUUAUUUUUAAGUGAAAAAGCUUAAAUGUGUAUAGAAGACGAGAAGACCCUGUAGAGUUUAAUAUUUAUAAUUUGAGUGUAAUUAUUAUAGUGUUGAAAUUUUAUUUUAUUGUAAGUAUUUCGUUGGGGUGACAAAAAAAUUGGUUAAACUUUUUUUUAAUUUAAACAUUGAUUUAUGAACUAAUGAUCCUAAAGGUUUUUGGAUUGGAAGAAUAAAUUACCUCAGGGAUAACAGCGUAAUUUUUUUGAAAGUUCUUAUUGAAAAGGAAGAUUGCGACCUCGAUGUUGGAUUAAAAUUUAUUGUUGGUGAAGAAGCUGACAAAUUAGGUCUGUUCGACCUUUAAAAUUUUACAUGAUCUGAGUUUAAACCGGUGUGAGCCAGGUCGGUU
rnacentral:rRNA from 1 species